rnacentral:tRNA from 1 species
GGCACGGUGGCGAAGUAGUAACGCAGCUGUCUGCAGAACAGCCAUGCAGGGGUGCAACUCCCCUCCGUGCCU